CUUGGCAUUAUUCACCCUCCAUACAAAGGUGGAGUCUUCUUGACGGUCAGGGACUUCGGUUUCCUCCUCCUCUCUGUUCACAUUGAAACAUAUGUCCGGGUCAUUCAGUGGUCGUUUUCCUCCUGAAGCAGCUGGAGAAUUAAAAUUGUGAAGACAUGGCUGCUGAGAUGGGUGACAUCGAAGAUACAUUUUUCAGGAAGUUGAACAAUUUCAUCCUGCGGACUGCAACGUUGCUGGUGAUGAGUAAUAUUUGCAAUUGUUAUGCAUCUGGCCCCAGCUGUCUGUGAACACCAAACCAAAACCGGUCACAGCAUUGAAUGGGAAAGGGUCAAAGGUCAUUGACCAGAAGUUAGUGGAUUUCCGGACAAAGCUCAAGAAGGACAUUCACAUGCGAUGCCAGAGACCAUCUCUGAUCAGAGACAGGUCACGUGCAGACACGUCCCCGCAUAUACGAAGUUUCACACCUGGGUUACGUGAGCAACUCCAUCCACUGAGGAAGAUCAUGAAAUGUGGUUGAAUAUUCAAAAAGCUACUAAGUGGACCUUGAGUUAAGAUUUUUCUUUUGUCAAACUGAACUAGCAAGUUUCAGAAAUGGUAACAGUGGAAAUAUAGCAGGGUUCAUUAGUCGUCCAUCUGCAGGAGGCAAAUAAUUGCAGGUGUUCGUCUUUCUAUUUGCCUCUAGGAGAUAAAAGAGUUUCAGAAGCGCUACUUGGCUCUGCUGACAGAUACACCAGGAAACACACAAAACCAGUUGACUGACACAACCUGCCAUAUACUCAACAAUGUGUACCGCUGGCAGGCUGAGUUUGGGUGUUGUGUUGACUCCAAGGCUACCAAGACUGGAAGUCCUCGAUCCCAGACUCCUGCUUGUGUGACGGAGAGGACGACAGCUCCGGAUGUGUGAGUCAUUCACCCUUCAAACGGACACAGAGCUGGUAAGGUAAUAUCAGCACUUACAGAUCAACUGGUGUGAUCUCACAAGUAAAAUCAUUUUUAACAAGAUUAAUGAUUAUAGAUACGGUGGGUUAAUUAAAUAUAGAAAUGUUGGUGUUGGUGAAUGCACAGAAAAAAAACAAAAAAGUAAAUGUAGCAACUACUGGAUUGGAAUGCUAUGAGAUUUUGUGCGGACACUCAUUGUUCCCAGAGGAUGAAUCCUACAGAUUUUGGUGAUCUACUGACUUUCUCUCUAGUGCCACAAUGAGGUUGACAUUUUUGUUUUUUAUUGAAAUAUCUCAACAACUAAUGGAUGGAUUGGCAUGAAAUUAGGUACAGACAUUCAUGGUCACCAGAGGAUGAAUUGUAAAGACUUUGAUCCCCUGAUUUUUUUUCUAACACCGUCAUCAGGUCAAAUUUUUCAUUUGUCCAAUACUUUGGUUUACAAAGAAAUGCCUGCAAAAGACUUUCCUAUCAGCCUCAGCUGUACUUUGUGUUUAGCGCUAAUUAGCAAAUGUAAGCAUGCUAACAUGGUGAACAUGGUAAACACUACCUUCUAAACAUCAGCAUGUCAGCGUUGUCAUUGUGAGCAUGUUAGUAUGCUUGAUAUGCUAAUGCUAGCCUUUAGCUCAAGUACAGUCUCAGUGAACCGCAAAUAUAGCUUUAGACUCUUCUAUUCUAGUGCCAUCAUCAGGUCAAAAUUUAAAAAAGUCAGGAGAUGAUCAAAAUCAUUAGGAUACAUCGCCUUGGAGCCAUAAAUGUACAAAAUUUCAUGGCAGUACAUCCAAUAGUUGUUGAGAUAUUUCAGCCUGGACCAAAGUGGUGGACCAACCAACAGACACAGACAUCCCUGCACAAACUGGAAGGGUCCGUUGUUUUCCAGCUCAGCUUUCCAACAAACUUGUAGACCAUAAAUGUAAUGAAAAGCUUGUACCUUCCUGCUUCAGUGUCUGAUACAAUAUUAGCAUGACAAACUUAUGGCCUUACAACAGGAAGUUGUUGCCUGGCAGCAAUCCCAUCAUUACACUUCAACUAAUCUAAUCCAGGCAGAGCAGGAAGCUCUGGCUGGCUGCAGUUAAUGUUAACAGCAGUAAAUCAUUUAGAGUCUGUGUGGGUGAGAGAGAGCUGGUAUGGAAUUGAUCACUGCAGGCUAGUAAUAUAAGACAAAACACAUUUUUUGUGCAUAUUUUUCUACACAUAAGUUACAUUUAGUUUCAAGUACUCAGAUCCUUUACUUAAAGCGGCUAUAGUAGAUCUUUUUUAUAAUAACAAUGUAUCACUGUUUUUGUUUUUAGAUGAUCAUAUGUUUGGAAUGUAAAAUCUUAACCUGUAAUGUAUCUAUUAAUUACAGCUGCCAGAUAAAUGGUGGUGUGAAAACAAAACAUUUGCUGCUAAAAUGCAGUGGAGUAGAAAUAUAAAGUAACAUAAUGUUGACAUACUCAAGUAAGGUCAAAGUACCUCAGAAGUCUACUUUAUAGUACUUCAGUUACUUUCCACAACUGUGUCUGGAUCUAAUCUUGAUUGUAAACCAGAAAACACCCAGAUGCUAUCUUCUUGCUGCACUAAUCCCAGUGUAAAAGAAUCAUUUAGUCAUUUAAUCUUAAUCAAAUUUCUGUCAAAGAACCCUGAUUCUGUAAGGAAACAGAUACAACACCUUGACUAAAUAGCCUACGUAUUGCUUUGGUUUUACCUCACCUUUUAGGUUACUGUAUAGACAGAGCAUUUUUAUGCAGAUCUGUACCUCUCAACUGUUCUGCAGGGAUGAUAAUAUGGUGCAUUUGUCUGGUCUUAUCAAGCACUGAAUGUACUGUACUUUAUAGCUAACUGUUAUAUGGUUGUUACACUUUAAUUUCACGUUCUGAUUGUGUUACUUUUGUUUCCAUUAUGGUUCUAGUGUACAGACCACAAUCUCGAACACUCGUGGAUGAACAUUUCAUGCAAAAAAUACAAAUAAGUAAAUAAAAACACAACAAAUCACAGAAAUAAAUCCUCAAUCAAA